rnacentral:lncRNA from 1 species
GUGAGCGGUAUGCAAAGUGAAUUCAAAGAAAUUAUAAAAAUUGAAUAUUUAUCAAUCUCAGCUGCAGAGAAGAGUGGCAUAAAGUGUAUAGGACUGGAGUGUACUCAGUGUGUUUACUGAGAUGGCACACUGUUUAGCAUGCUAGAGACUGCCAUUUUAAACUAGUAUGCAUCUUCCUCAGAUUUAUCUGAGAUUAUGAAUCUAUUUAGGACUAUUGUGUUUUGACUGCUCUGGUUGGCUUAUAUAUUUUAUUAUCUCUUCACAUAGAAUUGUUGAUUUCAAAGAUAGCAGUGAGGGUCUAAUGGAAAUCUGCCAUGCAGACCAUCUAAGUCACUUACUCUUCAAUCUUGCUUCAAUUUAACGAGCAUCAGUCAAGCCAAGGUAAAGCCCUGAAAGGUGGUCCUGGUACCUGUGCAUAUUCAUGUCUCUAAAACCUGUUGGGGGCAGCUAUCCUGAUUCUUGAAAGACUGGAUUAUGAAUGUCGUUGACCGAGAUUGGCAGCUUGUGGUCUCGAAGCUUCUUCCUUGGAUGCAGGUUAAAUCACGCUUGCUCCAUUCAGACAAUGGGGUUCUGUGGCAGUCUCCCGGCUAGUCACACAGUGCAGGGUGGGAGAAAUGUGAGAACCAGGUGCUAGACAUCAGUGAGAGGCUGGGGCAGUCAAGGUGGCGGGGCAUGUGGUAGAAGUGUCAGGACAUGAGCAAGUCCAAAUAUUGACAGGUUUCCCAGUCUGAAAGCAAUAAUAUUGGUGAAAUAAUUUGUAGUUUAAUCUAGGUUAGCAAAAGAGGACAAACAUUAGAUUGCUCUGCCUCUGCUUCAAGUCCCAGCAGUCACAGCUCGAGCAUAAUGUGGCUGCUGGAGGGGAGGUGGGGAGGACCUGGGGGGAGUUGGUGGGAUGAAAGCAGAAUCCAGAAUAUAUUGUAUGAAACAAAUCUAUUUUUGAUAAUAGAACAACAAAAACAAAAAUCCAAAACAAAAAAUAAUGAUUCUCCCUCUCCCUGCAGAUCUCAGCUAUCAGUAGCUUUUCUUUAAGGGGCAGGCCCUGAGGAGCAUCCUUCCCGGAGUCUGCACAGUAUUGGGAAGGUACACACAGCUUCUGUCGGUUCAUGAAUGUGGUCACCAUGGCAUGUCUAGAAGACAGCAUUUUUUUCAGUGUCAAUAGUCAGUGAAGAGAUGCAUGACUGGUCAAAGUGCUAAGAGGAAGAGACCACAUGCUCUGAGGUGGUAAGAUGCAGUUUGGGUGAAUAGAAUCAGAAGCCAAUGAUGGUGGUCUUGGUGAGGAUGGUGAGAGAAGUUUACCACAGUACAUACUUUUAUAUAGUUGGCCCCUUGGGCACUUUAUAUACAGAUGGGAGUGAGUGUGUGUGUGUCUGUGUGUGUGUGUCUGAGUAAGAGCCAUUGACAAAAAGCAGGUCAUAAAUUUGAAACAGAACAAAUUGAGGUAUAUGGGAAGAUUUGGAGGGGAGAAAGAGAAGGGAGAAAUAUAGUAAUCUCAAAUAUAAAAGAAAAGAGGAGCAUUGGAAACGUAAACGAGGAAAAUACCUAAUAAAAAAUGUUACAAAAAAAGAGGAAAAUUAAUAGCAAUGAACUGACUUAAAAAGACAGUAGCUAGUGGAAAAAAAAAAAAAGAACAGAAGCAGGGCAGACGAUGAGGAGCACACAGGUGAACAGCACUCUUGACUUUCCUCUGACUUAGUUCCUGUCUCCAGCUUCCUGCCCGGACUUCCCUGGAUGGUACCUUCCCUGCAAGCUCCAAAAAGAAGUAAAUCCUUUCUUCCACAAGAUAGAGCUUUGGUCAUGGUGAUUUAUCACAGGAGUGCAGACCCUAGAUUCCAGAUAAGUGUAAUCCUCUUGCCUCAUCGAUUUUCUUUCUCUUGGCAACAGACAGAGAUCAUUCCAGAAAACAACAAGCCUUCGAACUGCAGAGUUGCCGAGCCCAGGCACAAUGGAGAUCUCCAACACAGCUGCAUCUAAGGCUCAGGGAAUAUUUUGGAAGAGGGGUCAGAAGCAGUCUAAGAACUAGAGGAUCAAGGAAUGAGAUGCAAUGCUGUGUCUCCUAAGACUGCCAGAAGCAACCUGCAAAGUCUCAGCAACACGACUGCCCAAACAUGAGCUGGACAAGGAAGAGUAGACAUGCCAGAUAUGGGCAGAGGGAAAGCCCAUAGGGCCUCAACCUUAUCUCCAAAGAACAAGGGCAAACUAAGGAGGGCUGAGAGCUAGAGAGAUAGGCUUCCCCAGGAAGGAGCACAACAGUUGUUUAUCUCCUACCAGAGGCUAGUCCUGGAAACACGCAUCCAGGUCACACCAUGAAGCUUGAGCUGAUUAUAUGUAGAAAUCUAUAUGCAUGUACAUGAAUACAUUGGUAGAGGAAAUAACAAUUGAUGAAGAACGGGGUUAUUUGAAAGAGAGCAAGGAAGGGUAUAUGUGAGUCUUUGGGGUAGAAGAGGAACUAGAUAACAGAUGUAGUAAUAAUCACAAAAAAGAAAAGAAAUCUUUUAGUUGCCCUCUGAAUUUAGCAAGAUUCUGUAUGGCUGUUGGCUAUGUCCUGAGUUUUGGUUGACCCCUUUCCACAACCCCAUCACCCCA